GUAGAUUUUGUAAAAGGAAAAUAAAUCUUGGGAACCCCAAAUCACUAAGCCAUAGGGAAAAGUCAACCUGGGAACUGUUUCAGGCAAAUCUGACCUAAAAAAAAAAAAAAACCCCUUUUAAAGAAAAUUAUUCCUUAAUAAGAUAGCCACAAAGGCUUUUUUUUACAAAGCUACAUACCUCCCUGAAAAUUUGCCCUCUAAAACUUUAUUUGUGGACCCCAAGAUCUUUACCCUAAAAUGGUUCUGUUUUAAAUGAUUGUGUUUUACCCUAAAAAUGUAAAUUGAUAGCUGAUUUUCACAGGUGCAGGACAAAAGACAGAACUCUAAGUCAUCCCUGCUUGCACGAGACAACUGCAUAUCUGAUUGUUUCCCCGAUUUCAAAAUGCAGACUCACUGGGCUAGAGGAAGACGGAAGUGACUAUUCCUCUGCCCUGUCUCUCACAUGUAAAUUGUAUAUUCUGAUAAAGGCUGAUCAAAAACUCAAAAGAGUGAAACUGUUUGUCUCUUAUGUAUGGAUACCUUUUAAAAAUUUCUUCCUCUUUCUCCAAUGUCUGUUCUUUCCUCAAAAUCAUCUUUGGAGAAGGCAGAGAGCUGAAUCUGGGGCACAAGUGUUUAACCAUGGCAAACUAAACCGUCCAAAUUCAUUGAAACCUGUCUCAGGUAGUUUUUGGCUCAAAGACUCAAUGUUUGGCCAAUGCAGAUGUUCAGUCUCCAGUCCACAGUCUUCAGGUUCCAUCUACCCACAGGGUGACCCAGCCACUUCCCGGGCUUCUCUCACCAGCUCUCCUGUCCUCCAUGCUGGUCUUUUCCUUCCUGUUCCAUUUCCACCAGACCUCCCGUCUUUUCUCCCCUCCCAGCUCCCCUUGUUGUAUGACCUACCUCUCUUUUGCAGAGGAGACGUUGCUUUCAAGGAAGAAUUCCCUUGUCUUGUCACCAGCCGAACCACACCCUUACCUGCACCAGCUCCUCACUCCUUCCUGUGCCCUGAGACCAUGGAAAAGCCUCCCUGGCCUGCCUGGGGGGAUUCUGUUCAGUCUCUUGAUCCUGUGCACACUUGUCUCUGUCCUAGAUAAAAUGUUCUCACCUCUACUGGCUUCUUGCAAACACCAUUUUCAUGUGUUUAACCCUCUCCAUGUUAGAAAAACCAGUAAACAAUAGAAAAACAACCCUAUUUGCAUUUGAAGUUCCUCACAGUCU
rnacentral:lncRNA from 1 species